rnacentral:lncRNA from 10 species
CAGUGACGCGCGAGCGGCUCCCGCGACUGUGGCUCCCGAAGCUGCUUCGGGCCCCAGCGGAGUAUUUUAUACAGAAAUCUUGUGAAACCACUGCCCAACCAGAGCAAUGAUUGUUCAAAGAGUGGUAUUGAAUUCUCGACCUGGAAAAAAUGGUAAUCCAGUGGCAGAGAAUUUCCGAAUGGAAGAAGUCUAUUUACCAGAUAAUAUUAAUGAAGGACAAGUACAAGUUAGAACUCUUUAUCUUUCUGUGGAUCCUUACAUGCGAUGAGGUCUCGCUGUGUUGCCCAGGCUGGUCUCAAUUUUGCUGGGCUCAGGCAAUCCUCUGACUUUGGCCUCCUUGAAGUGCUGGCAUUACAGGCAUGAGCCACUGUGCUUAGCCCUGUAGUUGAUCUCUUUUUGAAAGGAACAGACUCACUUAUGCUACUUCUAGAUAAAUAAGAUUUAGUGAAAACGUAUACAUUGCUGAAGACUGCAGAUAAGAAGCCAUUAGGCACAGGGACUUUGGCUCUACGAGCUGGCGUCUUGCUUUACUUCUCCCAGAGGUCAUACAGUCUUUUCUUUACUUCUAACUUUUUCCUAUGGCCAUGACAAGCAUAACUCUUUAUGUCAAUUUACCCCCUGCUAUUAAGAGGCUCAGCUGGGCAUGGUGGCUCUUGCCUGUAAUCCUAGCAUUUUUGGAGGCCAAGGCAGGAUUGCUUGAGCCCAGGAGUUCAAGACCAGCCUGGACAAGAGAGUGAGACCCAGUCUCAACAAAAAAUUAAAAAUUUAGACAGGUGUGGUGGUGUGUGCCUGUAGUCCUAGCUACUCGAGAGGCUGAUGUGGGCAGAUCGUUUGAGCCUGGGAGGUUGAGGCUGCAUUGAGCCAUGAUUGCGCCACUGCACUUCCGUUCGGGUGAUGGAGUGAGA